AAAACUUUCAACAACGGAUCUCUUGGUUCUGGCAUCGAUGAAGAACGCAGCGAAAUGCGAUAAGUAAUGUGAAUUGCAGAAUUCAGUGAAUCAUCGAAUCUUUGAACGCACAUUGCGCCCUCUGGUAUUCCGGGGGGCAUGCCUGUUCGAGCGUCGUUA
rnacentral:rRNA from 2 species